rnacentral:tRNA from 1 species
GGAUGGGUGGCCGAGUGGUUUAAGGCAACGGUUUUAUACUCCGUCGGGCGAAAGCCCCGCAGGUUCGAAUCCUGUCCCAUCUG